rnacentral:rRNA from 1 species
AUUGAACGCUGGCGGCAGGCCUAACACAUGCAAGUCGAGCGAGCGGCGGACGGGUGAGUAAUGUAUGGGGACUGCCCGAUAGAGGGGGAUAACUACUGGAAACGGUGGCUAAUACCGCAUACUAUCGGAUAACCCAUAUUGGCUUAGCUAGUAGGUGGGGUAAAGGCUCACCUAGGCGACGAUCCCUAGCUGGUCUGAGAGGAUGAUCAGCUACACUGGGACUGAAACACGUAACAGAGUCCUACGGAGGCAGCAGUGGGGAAUAUUGCACAAAGGGCGCAAGCAUGAUGCAGCAAUGCCGCGUGUAUGAAGAAGGCAUUAGGGUUGUAGAGUACUUUCAGCGGGGAGGCGUUACCCGCAGAAGAAGCACCGGCUAAGUCCGUGCCAGCAGCCGCGGUAAUUC